UUACGACCAUAUCACGUUGUAACACCAGUUUUUGUCCAAUCACCGAAGGUAAGAAACGUCGAGCCUGAUCAGUAACUAGAUGGAUGAUCGCUUGGGAAUACCAGGUAUUGUAU